rnacentral:rRNA from 1 species
CCUACGGGAGGCAGCAGUGGGGAAUAUCGGACAAUGGGGGCAACCCUGAUCCAGCCAUGCCGCGUGAGUGAUGAAGGCCCUAGGGUUGUAAAGCUCUUUUGUGCGGGAAGAUAAUGACGGUACCGCAAGAAUAAGCCCCGGCUAACUUCGUGCCAGCAGCCGCGGU